UGCAAGUCGAACGGUAACAGGCAUCGGUGAUCCCUUCGGGGUGAUCUUGGCGCUGACGAGUGGCGAACGGGUGAGUAAUGCUUGGGAAUCUGCCCGAUAGUGGGGGACAACCCGAGGAAACUCGGGCUAAUACCGCGUAAGCUCCACGGAGGAAAGCGGGGGAUCUUCGGACCUCGCGCUAUCGGAUGAGCCCAAGUCGGAUUAGCUUGUUGGUGGGGUAAUGGCCUACCAAGGCGACGAUCCGUAGCUGGUCUGAGAGGACGAUCAGCCACACUGGGACUGAGACACGGCCCAGACUCCUACGGGAGGCAGCAGUAGGGAAUAUUGGACAAUGGGCGCAAGCCUGAUCCAGCAAUGCCGCGUGUGUGAAGAAGGCCUGCGGGUUGUAAAGCACUUUCAGUGGGGAAGACAAACUCGAGGUUAAUACCCUCGGGUCUCGACGUUACCCACAGAAGAAGCACCGGCCAACUCCGUGCCAGCAGCCGCGGUAAUACGGAGGGUGCGAGCGUUAAUCGGAAUUACUGGGCGUAAAGCGCACGCAGGUGGCUGGGUCAGUCGGUUGUGAAAUCCCCGGGCUUAACCUGGGAAUUGCGAUCGAAACUGCCCGGCUAGAGUAUGGGAGAGGGAAGUGGAAUUCCCGGUGUAGCGGUGAAAUGCAUAGAUAUCGGGAGGCACACCAGUGGCGAAGGCGGCUUCCUGGCCCAAUACUGACACUCAGGUGCGAAAGCGUGGGGAGCAAACAGGAUUAGAUACCCUGG
rnacentral:rRNA from 1 species